GUUAGGAUUCGGCGCUCUCACCGC
rnacentral:piRNA from 3 species